rfam:Oceanicola granulosus HTCC2516 scf_1099521380028 genomic scaffold, whole genome shotgun sequence.
GGGCUUGAGCGGCGCGGGGCGCGCGCCUAUAUUCCGGGUGUCUCGCAGGAGACUAUGGACAUAAACGCGCUCGUAAUAAGCGGAUCGGACCCGGGGGCGGUACCCGGCGGCUCCACCAUACACCUUCGUUGGGGGAACAUGGGGCCGAAACAGGAUCGACGAACGUCUAAAGGGGUUAGCUUUGUCUCGGUGAGGUACCACCGUGAUCGGUCCGUAAAGCAUAAUUGCCAACGACAAUCGUGCUCCGGUCGCCGUUGCUGCUUAAGCAGUAACGAAGAUCGAAAUCUUAAGCCCUUGCGCCUAGCAGCGUAAGGCGGGGUUCGCAGGCACCUGGCAACAGAAGCCUGCACU